rnacentral:lncRNA from 1 species
CCCGCCUCCAAACCCUACCUCUGUCCUUGACCUUUACCUGUUAAAAGGGAGGAGAGGAAGGGGGAAUGUUGGCGUUGCCCCAGGUACUUUCAAGCUCGUCCUCCCCUUCUGCUCCACGAAGUGCGGCUUAGGUUGGCCCCAGCCAGACACCGCGAAUGUCCACCGCUUGAAUCCAUUUAUCUACUUCAUUAACCAGGAUAACACCGAACACAUGGCACAUUUUUUUUUUCAGUUUGAUUAAAAGUGAAGCAAAGUGUGCCUUCUGUCACCUCUGUCCCAGUGCUAGAGAACAUCCUCAUACAUCGUGUGCAUUAAUAGUUCCAGUCCUCCAGUCUUCUUGUGGGGUAAGAGGGGCUUUAUUUUAAUCGAAUUUGGAAAUGGUGUCAGAAUGCAAGGUUUCA